rnacentral:rRNA from 1 species
AGAACGCUGAAGGAGGAGCUUGCUUCUCCGGAUGAGUUGCGAACGGGUGAGUAACGCGUAGGUAACCUGCCUGGUAGCGGGGGAUAACUAUUGGAAACGAUAGCUAAUACCGCAUAAGAGUAGAUGUUGCAUGACAUUUGCUUAAAAGGUGCAAUUGCAUCACUACCAGAUGGACCUGCGUUGUAUUAGCUAGUUGGUGGGGUAACGGCUCACCAAGGCGACGAUACAUAGCCGACCUGAGAGGGUGAUCGGCCACACUGGGACUGAGACACGGCCCAGACUCCUACGGGAGGCAGCAGUAGGGAAUCUUCGGCAAUGGACGGAAGUCUGACCGAGCAACGCCGCGUGAGUGAAGAAGGUUUUCGGAUCGUAAAGCUCUGUUGUAAGAGAAGAACGAGUGUGAGAGUGGAAAGUUCACACUGUGACGGUAUCUUACCAGAAAGGGACGGCUAACUACGUGCCAGCAGCCGCGGUAAUACGUAGGUCCCGAGCGUUGUCCGGAUUUAUUGGGCGUAAAGCGAGCGCAGGCGGUUAGAUAAGUCUGAAGUUAAAGGCUGUAGCUUAACCAUAGUACGCUUUGGAAACUGUUUAACUUGAGUGCAAGAGGGGAGAGUGGAAUUCCAUGUGUAGCGGUGAAAUGCGUAGAUAUAUGGAGGAACACCGGUGGCGAAAGCGGCUCUCUGGCUUGUAACUGACGCUGAGGCUCGAAAGCGUGGGG